UACGGGGGGAGCAAGCGUUUGUUCGGAUUUACUGGGCGUAAAGGGCGCGUAGGCGGUCGUGACAAGUCACUUGUGAAAUCUCCGGGCUUAACUCGGAACGGUCAAGUGAUACUGUCGGACUAGAGUACAGAAGGGGCAACUGGAAUUCUCGGUGUAGCGGUGAAAUGCGUAGAUAUCGAGAGGAACACCUGCGGCGAAGGCGGGUUGCUGGGCUGAUACUGACGCUGAGGCGCGAAAGCGUGGGGAGCAAACAGGAUUAGAACC
rnacentral:rRNA from 1 species